GAUGAAGAACGCAGCGAAAUGCGAUAAGUAAUGUGAAUUGCAGAAUUCAGUGAAUCAUCGAAUCUUUGAACGCACAUUGCGCCCCCUGGUAUUCCGGGGGGCAUGCCUGUUCGAGCGUCAUUUCACCACUCAAGCCUCGCUUGGUAUUGGGCAUCGCGGUCCGCCGCGCGCCUCAAAUCGACCGGCUGGGUCUUCUGUCCCCUAAGCGUUGUGGAAACUAUUCGCUAAAGGGUGUUCGGGAGGCUACGCCGUAAAACAACCCCAUUUCUAAGGUUGACCUCGGAUCAGGUAGGGAUACCCGCUGAACUUAAGCAUAUCAAUAAGCGGAGA
rnacentral:misc_RNA from 1 species